rnacentral:rRNA from 1 species
GAUGAACGCUGGCGGCGUGCCUAAUACAUGCAAGUCGAGCGAACGGACGAGAAGCUUGCUUCUCUGAUGUUAGCGGCGGACGGGUGAGUAGCACGUGGAUAACCUACCUAUAAGACUGGGAUAACUUCGGGAAACCGUAGCUAAUACCGGAUAAUAUUUUGAAUCGCAUGGUUCAAAAGUGAAAGACGGUCUUGCUGUCACUUAUAGAUGGAUCCGCGCUGCAUUAGCUAGUUGGUAAGGUAACGGCUUACCAAGGCAACGAUGCAUAGCCGACCUGAGAGGGUGAUCGGCCACACUGGAACUGAGACACGGUCCAGACUCCUACGGGAGGCAGCAGUAGGGAAUCUUCCGCAAUGGGCGAAAGCCUGACGGAGCAACGCCGCGUGAGUGAUGAAGGUCUUCGGAUCGUAAAACUCUGUUAUUAGGGAAGAACGUAUGUGUAAGUAACUGUGCACAUCUUGACGGUACCUAAUCAGAAAGCCACGGCUAACUACGUG